GGGGUGAAAGGCCAAUCAAACCGGGAGAUAGCUGGUUCUCCCCGAAAGCUAUUUAGGUAGCGCCUCGUGAAUUCAUCUACAGGGGUAGAGCACUGUUUUGGCUAGGGGGCCAUCCCGGCUUACUAAUCCAAUGCAAACUCCGAAUACUGUAGAAUGUUAUCACGGGAGACACACAGCGGGUGCUAACGUUCGUUGUGGAGAGGGAAACAACCCAGACCGCCAGCUAAGGUCCCAAAGUCAUAGUUAAGUGGGAAACGAUGUGGGAAGGCAUAAACAGCCAGGAUGUUGGCUUAGAAGCAGCCAUCAUUUAAAGAAAGCGUAAUAGCUCACUGGUC
rnacentral:rRNA from 1 species